rnacentral:tRNA from 3 species
GGUCGCUUAGCUCAGUCGGUUAGAGCAUCUCCCUUUUAAGGAGAGGGUCCUGUGUUCGAAUCACAGAGCGAUCACCA